UAUCUCUGUAGAGUCUGCAUAUCAAUAAGCGGAGGAAAAGAAACUAACUAGGAUUCCCUCAGUAACGGCGAGUGAAGCGGGAAGAGCUCAAAUUUGAAAUCUUCAAGGUUCUACCUUGACGAAUUGUAGUUUAAAGAAGUGUUUUCUGUUGGAGUUUUGGUAAAAGUUCUUUGGAAUAGGACAUCAUAGAGGGUGAGAAUCCCGUAUUUGACCAUUAUUUCCAGCUUUGUGAUACACUUUCAAAGAGUCGGAUUGUUCGGGAAUGCAGUCCAAAAUGGGUGGUAAAUUUCAUCUAAAGCUAAAUAUUGGCGAGAGACCGAUAGCGAACAAGUACCGUGAGGGAAAGAUGAAAAGAACUUUGAAAAGAGAGUUAAACAGUACGUGAAAUUGUCAAAAGGGAAGCGUUUGACACCAGUGUUGUUUUCUCGAAAAUCAAUUAAAAAAGGCAGGGAUUUUGUGUUGUAUUGACUUUAUCAGCUUUCUGCACUCUUUUCUUGUCUUUUUUAAUGCACUUUUCGUUUAACAAGUCAACAUCAAUUUCUUUUGUUGUAAAAGGGUCAUUGGAAGGUGGCUUUCUUUUCGGAGAAAGUGUUUAUAGCCUUUGGCCUCUGCAAUCGGAGAGAUUGAGGUCUGCAGCGUAGAUCCUUCGGGGUUAGAUACAUUUGUGCUAAGUUAUAGCCUUUCAUAGACAACUUGUUGACUAUGAUCAGUCAUGUAGCUUACUCGCUUAUGCUAUUUUACCUACGCUUAGGAUGUUGACGAUCAGCUGAGCGCG
rnacentral:rRNA from 1 species